rnacentral:ncRNA from 1 species
CGGGAUAAGGAUUGGCUCUGAAGAUUGAGAUAGUCGGGCUUGAUUGGGAAACAAUAACAUGGUUUAUGUGCUCGUUCUGGGUAAAUAGAGUUUCUAUCAUUUAUGAUAGUUAUUUGUUCCCCGGAUAGUUAGUUACGUAGCCAAUUGUGGAACUUUCUUGCUAAAAUUUUUAAGAAUACUAAUUUUUAAUUAGUUCUUUUAAAUUAUAACGAUUAUCAAUUAACAAUCAAUUCAGAACUGGCACGGACUUGGGGAAUCCGACUGUCUAAUUAAAACAAAGCAUUGUGAUGGCCCUAGCGGGUGUUGACACAAUGUGAUUUCUGCCCAGUGCUCUGAAUGUCAAAGUGAAGAAAUUCAAGUAAGCGCGGGUCAACGGCGGGAGUAACUAUGACUCUCUUAAGGUAGCCAAAUGCCUCGUCAUCUAAUUAGUGACGCGCAUGAAUGGAUUAACGAGAUUCCUACUGUCCCUAUCUACUAUCUAGCGAAACCACAGCCAAGGGAACGGGCUUGGAAUAAUUAGCGGGGAAAGAAGACCCUUUUGAGCUUGACUCUAAUCUGGCAGUGUAAGGAGACAUAAGAGGUGUAGAAUAAGUGGGAGAUAUUAUUCCUUGUGUUUGAUAUCGCCAAUGAAAUACCACUACUCUUAUUGUUUCCUUACUUACUUGAUUAAAUGGAACGUGUAUCAUUUCCUAGCCAUUAUACGGAUAUAUUUAUUAUAUCUUAUGGUAUUGGGUUUUGAUGCAAGCUUCUUGAUCAAAGUAUCACGAGUUUGUUAUAUAAUCGCAAACAAAUUCUUUAAUGAGAGAGUGCAUUUAUGUAUUUUUAAUUUGAAAUAUUUGGUAUAACUCCAAUUACUCAGGUAUGAUCCAAUUCAAGGACAUUGCCAGGUAGGGAGUUUGACUGGGGCGGUACAUCUCUCAAAUAAUAACGGAGGUGUCCCAAGGCCAGCUCAGUGCGGACAGAAACCACACAUAGAGCAUAAGGGCAAAUGCUGACUUGAUCUCGGUGUUCAGUACACACAGGGACAGCAAAAGCUCGGCCUAUCGAUCCUUUUGGUUUAAAGAGUUUUUAACAAGAGGUGUCAGAAAAGUUACCAUAGGGAUAACUGGCUUGUGGCGGCCAAGCGUUCAUAGCGACGUCACUUUUUGAUCCUUCGAUGUCGGCUCUUCCUAUCAUUGUGAAGCAAAAUUCACCAAGCGUUGGAUUGUUCACCCAUGCAAGGGAACGUGAGCUGGGUUUAG